CAUGAUUAGCUUAGCUAGGAUUGUUUAGAGGGUAGUCGCAGUCGCCCCAACUCCGAUUCACAAAGCUAUUUCAUUGGUUUUGUGAGUAGGGUGAGAAACAACAUCUUGUUGGAAACUUUAAUUUUCUUAAGAAGUUAAAGAACUGU
rnacentral:ncRNA from 1 species